GCAUACAAUACAAUGUUCCCAAUCCAAGCCACAACUGUAUCAUCAAAAAUCCUUUAUAUAUUUACACUGGGUUUCCAAGUAAUGAAAAAAUAUGCGUUCUUUGUACCAAAGAACUAAAUAAAAUUGCAUCCAACUACAUACUUAUUGGUUGAAGCAGAACUGUUUUCAGCUACAGCCACCCAUUUGGCUUUUUCUUUGAUCUCUAUCUUUUCCCAACACAACGUGCAUUGACCAUUUGGAUAUUGUUCUUGCUAGCUGUUCAUUUGGAGCCGCCAGACUUGGUUUUAUCUUGUUCAACAUCAUCAUCCACAUCGAUAGUUCUGACCUUGAAUCGCUCCAGCCUCAUUUCCGACCCGUCUCUUUUGAAUUCACGCGGUGAGCCAAUGCUCAGGCUUCUUUGCAUGGUCCGAACCCUGGUGCUCUGAUCCGAUUUGACUUGAGAUAAAACCAAAUUCCAUUUCUUUGGCAUCUCGGCCAGAAACUUAUCAGGACUCCCCGGAAAUAUUUUCUUGAACAGCUCGAGCCUUCGGAAGUAGAGCUCCCUGAAGAACUCUACCAAGGCCAGGAACCUUGGAUCAACUGACUUACCAACGUUUGAUCGGAAUCUGUAGUAGUUUCCACCCACGUCGCUGUAGUUUCUUCGAAGCAGACCGCUUUCUAGUUGUGACAUAUCAUUAAUCUUGGUGCCCAGAAUUGAUGCGCCGGAGUUUGAUGGCUGAUCGGCUUCUGUAGCUUCUACUUCUGGAUACCCUUCUGGCCUCUCCAUGGAUAUUUAUGAUGAUAUGUAGCUAGUAUAUAUAAAUUCUUGAUAUUCAGGAGAUGGAGAGAAUCUGUGUAAGGAUGAGACUGACGAGGUUGCCGGAGAAUAGCAAAUCUGAUCAACAAAAUUGAAUUGUUCACGUUAUGGUUUUAGAGGAGGGGACUUAUCCAACCUCUAUAUAUAUAGGUGUUUGUAAUCUGGAAACCCUAGCCUUCAUGUUGACUGGUAUGCCAUGACUUUUUCAUGACUAACAAGAAGUGGGUCACUUUGAAGAUUGGAACUUUUCUUAGAAUUACAAAGCCAUCCUGAUCAGACUAGUCAUUGGCAUGGAUUACUUUGGCCCUACGUAUUGGUGUUGCUGAUGAUGAAGCUUCUAAGAACCUUGCUUUGCAGUCAGCUAGCUUUCAUUCCAAAUGAAGAACGUUCCUGCUGCCAGUUGCUUCUGAUCAAUCAUAUAUAAUUUGAGGCUUCUAAGAACCAUGGAAUUCAUUUCUUACUGCCAGUUGCUCUUCGAUCAUCAUAUUAUUAUUUUAGCCUUUCGUGUCAAGUUUUAUUUAUUAUAUAUAUUUGGUUGCUGGGAUAUAUCACAUAUGUAUGAAGGAAUGUAUUUAUGUAAAUGUCAAUACGUUUUCAAAUUC